CCUACGGGGGGCAGCAGUGAGGAAUAUUGGUCAAUGGACGCAAGUCUGAACCAGCCAUGCCGCGUGCAGGAAGACGGCUCUAUGAGUUGUAAACUGCUUUUGUACGAGGGUAAACGCAGAUACGCGUAUCUGUCUGAAAGUAUCGUACGAAUAAGGAUCGGCUAACUCCGUGCCAGCAGCCGCGGUAAUACGGAGGAUUCAAGCGUUAUCCGGAUUUAUUGGGUUUAACGGGUGCGUAGGCGGUCGGAUAAGUUAGAGGUGAAAUCCCGAGGCUCAACUUCGGAAUUGCCUCUGAUACUGUUCGGCUAGAGAGUAGUUGCGGUAGGCGGAAUGUAUGGUGUAGCGGUGAAAUGCUUAGAGAUCAUACAGAACACCGAUUGCGAAGGCAGCUUACCAAGCUACUUCUGACGUUGAGGCACGAAAGCGUGGGGAGCAUACAGGAUUAGAUACCCGAGUAGUC
rnacentral:rRNA from 1 species